rnacentral:rRNA from 1 species
CACCGCGGUUAUACGAGAGGCCCGAGUUGAUAAACAUCGGCGUAAAGUGUGGUUAGGACUUUUCCCACCUAAAGUUAAACACCCCCAGAACUGUUAUACGCUCCCGGGAGUAGGAGGCCCAACAACGAAAGUGACUUUAAAUAUCCGACCCCACGACAGCUAAGGCA